GGCUCACCAAGGCGACGAUCCGUAACUGGUCUGAGAGGAUGAUCAGUCACACUGGAACUGAGACACGGUCCAGACUCCUACGGGAGGCAGCAGUGGGGAAUAUUGGACAAUGGGCGAAAGCCUGAUCCAGCCAUGCCGCGUGUGUGAAGAAGGUCUUCGGAUUGUAAAGCACUUUAAGUUGGGAGGAAGGGCAGUUGCCUAAUACGUAACUGUUUUGACGUUACCGACAGAAUAAGCACCGGCUAACUCUGUGCCAGCAGCCGCGGUAAUACAGAGGGUGCAAGCGUUAAUCGGAAUUACUGGGCGUAAAGCGCGCGUAGGUGGUUUGUUAAGUUGGAUGUGAAAUCCCCGGGCUCAACCUGGGAACUGCAUUCAAAACUGACUGACUAGAGUAUGGUAGAGGGUGGUGGAAUUUCCUGUGUAGCGGUGAAAUGCGUAGAUAUAGGAAGGAACACCAGUGGCGAAGGCGACCACCUGGACUAAUACUGACACUGAGGUGCGAAAGCGUGGGGAGCAAACAGG
rnacentral:rRNA from 1 species